rnacentral:Y_RNA from 1 species
GGCUGGUCCGAUGGUAGUGGUUUAUCAGAAUUUACUAACAUUAGUGUCACUGAAAUUGGUAUACAGCCUCCUACUGCUAAAUCUGACUGGCUUGAU